CUUUCUGAUAAGAAACAGCUGUUAGGCCACCCGUAAUCACUGAUGGCUGUGUUUUACCCACUGUAAAGAACUCAGAAUGAGAAAUAUGAAGAUUUCAGAAGUGCUGUUGUUUGCAAUGGCUGCAUUGCACUGUGGGAUAACAGAAGACUUUAUUAUGGGUAACUGUAAUGAUAUCAUCAGACUUCCUUGUACAGCUACUGAUCGCACAACAACUUACCGUUACGUCAUGUGGUAUAAAUCAGAUAAUCUUCCCAUCAUCAAGAGGAAAAACCAUGAAUAUACAUAUAACUUGACCAAUGUUUCUCUGGAAGAUAAAGAAACCCUGGUGUUAAAUAAUGUGCAACCUUCAGACUCUGGACAAUAUAAAUGCUACCUGGCUGCAGAGGUUGGAGGUCAAAAUGACCAUUCUUUUAUUGGAUUGAAUAUCUCAGAAUGCUUGGAUGUGAGCACAGUUUAUCCCAUCACCACCACGAUCCCUGCUGAUUCCUGUCCUGCUGUAGAAGAAUUAACUGUUCCCUGGGCUGUGAUUGGCCUUUCUCUUAUUAGUGUCACCAAAGUCAUUCUUUGCAUUGUAACUGUGGGGGUGUGUGAUCGAGUCAUAUUUAGAACAGUAAGAAGAAAACAGGAAGUAAGGGGAAGCAAGACUGGAAGGUCAAGCUGGAAAGACUGAGAUUCACAAAAAGCUGAUGGGGUCAUUUUAGUUUUACGCAUCCAUUAGCUAAGUUAAAACAGUCCAAGCCUGUAAACAUUUACAAGGUUGUUCACACCAUUAGGUUGUGUUGAUAGGACCCGUUUUAUUUCUGUGUGGUUUUGCUAUUCUUAAUUACUUUUUAUGGAUGGUUUAUUCAGGGGAAGAAGGACGGGCUAUAAUGGGAGCUGUUUUAUAGCUGUUGAGGGAGACAAGAGUCAUGGAGGGUUGCAAUUCAUUAGACCUGUGCUCUGCCACAGCUGUACACUGUUGCCUUUUGUUUGUUUUUACAUUUCCUCCCCAUAUGUUAUAAUUGUAUAUCCUCUGUAAAUAUUUUUGACUGUCUGUAUCACAUUUAUGUACUUUAUGAAUCUUAAGGUUUAUUACUAGGGCU
rnacentral:lncRNA from 1 species